rnacentral:rRNA from 1 species
AUUGAACGCUGGCGGCAGGCCUAACACAUGCAAGUCGAACGAGUGGCGGACGGGUGAGUAAUGUCUGGGAAACUGCCUGAUGGAGGGGGAUAACUACGGGAAACGGUAGCUAAUACCGCAUACCAUCGGAUGUGCCCAGAUGGGAUUAGCUAGUUGGUGAGGUAAAGGCUCACCUAGGCGACGAUCCCUAGCUGGUCUGAGAGGAUGACCAGCCACACUGGAACGGAGACACGGUCCAGACUCCUACGGGAGGCAGCAGUGGGGAAUAUUGCACAAUGGGCGCAAGCCUGACGCAGCCAUGCCGCGUGUAUGAAGAAGGCCGUCGGGUGGUAAAGUACUUUCAGCGGGGAGGCGUUACCUGCAGAAGAAGCACCGGCUAACUCCGUGCCAGCAGCCGCGGUAAUAC